AACGGCCGUACCAUGCUGAAUAUACCGGUUCUUGUUAGAUCACCGAAGUCAAGCAUCAUUGGGCGCGGUCAGUACUUGGGUGGGUGACCAUCUGGGAACACUGCGUGCCGUU
rnacentral:rRNA from 1 species